rnacentral:rRNA from 1 species
AAUUUUUGACAAUGUGGGCAACCCUGAUCCAGCCAUCCCGCGUGUGCGAUGAAGGCCUUCGGGUUGUAAAGCACUUUUGGCAGGGAAGAAAAGGCUUUGCCUAAUACCUGGAGCUUCUGACGGUACCCGAUGAGGAAGCCCCGGCCAACUACGUGCCAGCAGCCGCGGUAAUACGUAGGGGGCAAGCGUUGUCCGGAAUUAUUGGGCGUAAAGGGUGCGUAGGCGGCUUUUUAAGUCAGAUGUGAAAGACCACGGCUUAACCGUGGGGUUGCAUUUGAAACUGGAAGGCUUGAGUAUCGGAGAGGGUAGUGGAAUUCCCAGUGUAGCGGUGAAAUGCGUAGAUAUUGGGAGGAACACCAGUGGCGAAGGCGACUACCUGGACGAAAACUGACGCUGAUGCACGAAAGCUAGGGGAGCAAAC